rnacentral:rRNA from 1 species
UACGAAGGGGGCUAGCGUUGCUCGGAAUCACUGGGCGUAAAGGGUGCGUAGGCGGGUCUUUUAAGUCAGGGGUGAAAUCCUGGAGCUCAACUCCAGAACUGCCUUUGAUACUGAAGAUCUUGAGUUCGGGAGAGGUGAGUGGAACUGCGAGUGUAGAGGUGAAAUUCGUAGAUAUUCGCAAGAACACCAGUGGCGAAGGCGGCUCACUGGCCCGAUACUGACGCUGAAGCACGAAAAGCGUGGGGAGCAAACAGGGAUUAAGAAAC